rnacentral:rRNA from 1 species
CAAUAGCGUAUAUUAAAGUUGUUGCGGUUAAAAAGCUCGUAGUUGGAUUUCUGCUGAGAACGACCGGUCCGCCCUCUGGGUGUGUAUCUGGCUCUUUCUUGGCAUCUUCUUGGUGAACGUUGCUGCACUUGACUGUGUGGAGCGCUACCCAGGACUUUUACUUUGAGGAAAUUAGAGUGUUUCAAGCAGGCAUACGCCUUGAAUACAUUAGCAUGGAAUAAUAAGAUAGGACCUCGGUUCUAUUUUGUUGGUUUCUAGAGCUGAGGUAAUGAUUAAUAGGGAUAGUUGGGGGCAUUCGUAUUUAACUUUCAGAGGUGAAAUUCUUGGAUUUGUUAAAGACGGACUACUGCGAAAGCAUUUGCCAAGGAUGUUUUCAUUGA